GGGAAUCAAGUGGAAAUAGCAAGCAAUAAAUGUAAAUGCUUGAAUGUGGAUUGCUAUAAUGUUGUCUAAGAGUACGGAAAUUUCAUGAGUUAUAUUUUACUUCCACAGGAAGUUUUGUGUUUAAUUUCUAGGAACCCAAGGGCAAAGCAAAGCAAUUAAAAUGCUGAAGACUUAAAAAUAAACUUCAGAAGCAUCAAGUAAAAUACCUUUAGCUGAUUAGUGGUACAAUGCGUUUUUAAUGAGAAAUAAAUUAGGAUUGCAUUAUUCCUAAGGAGGAUAAGGAGAGGCAUUAGAUAUCUGCAUUGAUAAUAGGGGGCUUAGAAAUAAUCUAACACUAUGAGCUGCUUUUCUAGAAAAUAAUAGGAAACAUAUAUGGCCUAAUGCAGGUAGGAAAAGCAGUGAAACAAAGAAAUUGGUAAAAGUCCUUUCACUAAAAAGCUUAUUGCAAGUUGAAUUUUGACGUAGUCCCAUCACUCCUUUGAUCUGUUUAGACUUAUCCCUUUGAUAUGUAUCCAUGUUUCUCUAUUUUUGUCAAAUCGUUAGUUUGUCUUGAAGUCUGAUUUUAAUGCAAACUAAUUUAUAUAAAAAGUGCAGAAUGUAAAAUUUAGAAUUAAUUUUGAAUGACCCACAUAUAAAAUACUACCUCCUGUAUUUACCCACAGCAAACAAAAUUCUACUAAAAACAGGGCUCAGAAAUACACUUUACGAAAUAUUUCUUUUCACUUGUCCUUUUGUGGCACUGUACCAAAUGAAGGGAAUAAGAAAAGUCCUUUGAUUGGGAAGAUUGGCAGCAUUUAUGUUUUUAAAUAAAUUGAAUUUUAAAUACACAUCUAUUGUCUGGGUUAAAUUGCUACACAGUGAAAGGAAUGCUGUUCUCUAAACAAUAAUUGGUCUAUUUCAGCUCUCAAAUUGGGUCACAGUAAGAGACAGCAUUCUCCGUUCUUUCUCUCUUUCUCUCUCUUUUUCCCUUGAUUCCUUGAAAAGGUGAUUGAAACUCUAAUCAUUACUGCAUUGAGGCAGUGUACUCAUAAAAAUAAUAUUUUUCAUGAAGGAUACAUCCUCUUCCUUGCCCCUGUUUUUGACGGCAUUGUAUUGUAAAACAUCUGAAGAACAAUGAAGAAAUCUGCAGUCUGAACAAAAUAUGCUGGAAUUUAUUUUUGGUAAUGAAUACUUCACCUUCUGUAUGGGACCAUGGUAAAUUGAAAUAAAUUAGGAUGAUUAAUCUUACACCAUUUUACAGUCAUCAUAUUCCUAAACAUGCUUUUUAGUCCAAAGGGAAGGAGUGUGGGGAGAUGAAAAUACUGGUCUACGAAGCUCAUAUGCUACAUUACUUCAGUUAUGUCUCAAAUUGCUCUGACAGAUAGGUUGGGUAGAGUUUUAUAGAAGGUCAUAGCUGUUACCUCGUGAGUCAAAGCAGGAAUGCUUUGGAUCAGCCUGCUUUUUUACUGAAGUGUGUGCACACUUAAAAGGGUGUGAAGGGAUCUGUGAAGCUGUAAUACCCUGCGCUUUGGACACAGUGAACAUCAGGGCAAUUGGGUAAUCUAUCUGUGUGGUAUAUAUAAUGUACAAUAUCAACCAGUAUUUAUGUUGUUAACAGUGGAAAUUUCUUGAUAUUGAGUUGCUGUGAGUAUCCAUGUCUGACAAAUGCCAGCAGAGAAGUCGUCAAAUAGCCUGCAAGAGCACCCCAUGCACCUAAAGAGUGUCAGGAAGAGGAUGGUGCCAACUUUCAGCUGAGGAGGAUAGCCAGUAGCACAUAAUGCAUUGCUUCCCAAUUCUGUUUCAUUUCUUCCCUAUGUCUUUGUUCUUUGACAGGUCUUCCAGUUUGCAUCCUGCUUUAUGGAAGGUGACUUCAUGGGAUGAAAGGUCAGGGCUUGACAUGCUGAAUUCUGCCUUAACCUUACUGCACUGUCUCUCACCCAUCCUAUCUUAGAUUGUGCUGCUGCGGCCAAGAAGGCCAACAGGAUGCUGGGUUGCAUCAAAAAGGGCAUCACCAGCAGAGAUAAAGAAAACAUUAUCCCUCUCUACUCAGUGCUUGUCAGGCCACACCUGGAGUACUGGGUACAGUUCUGGUCCCCACUAUACCAAAAGGAUGUGGACAGGCUGGAAGGGGUCCAGAGAAGGGCUACCAAGAUGAUCAGAGGACUGGGAAGCUGCCACACAAGGAUAGGCUGGGAGAACUGGGUUUGUUCAGCCUUGAGAAAAGGAGGCUUAGAGGGGAUCUAAUCACCAUAUACCAGUACUUAAGGGGCAGCUACAAAGAAGAUGGAGGUUCCCUUUCUACAAGGAGUCACAUGGAGAGGACAAGGUGGGAUGGACACAAGUUGCUCUUGGGGAGAUUCCAACUGGACACAGGAGGAAAAUUUUUCACAGUGAGGACAGUCACCAUUGGAAUAAUCUCCCCAAGGAAGUGGUUGACUCGGCCACGUUGGACACCUUUAAGAGUUGGCUGGACAGGGUGCUGGGCCAUCUUGUCUAGACUGUGCUCUUCCCAGAAAGGUUGGACUAGAUGAUCCCUGAGGUCCCUUCCAACCUGGGAUUCUGUGAUUUAAUGUGUAACUAUAAGAUAAGCCCACAGGUGUGGAAGAGCUUGAAGGGAGAUGGUGGUGGAGAAAAAAGAGUGAGAAACUUCACAGGGUCUGAGUAUAUGUAUGAAGUUUGUUUCAGCUCCUAUCCUGCUCCUGCUGGAAUAGACCCGGUAGGAAUGGUGACUCCUUUCUGCAGCUUGGAAAAAGUGAAGAAGAAAGAGGUAAAGGAGCCGCUAUAGUAAGGAAGUCUUCCUAUCUCAUCUCUGUUUCAUUCUCACUGUGGAGAGGGAGUAUAAAUUAAUUGCUAGACCAAUGGAGGGCAGAAGAGGUUGGGUAACGUGGAUGAACUGUCCUUCAGCGGAAUUAAAGAGUCAUGAGAGCAGGAAUCUUGGUAAACCCAAAUCAGAGAGUGCUCAUAAGUGAGGAACCUGAGGCAUUAUCAUCUUUAGUUAUUGUCUGGAUUAAAGGUACGCUACCUGGAAUGGGUUAAAUAUAUGGUACUCUACAUUUCUGUGCAAAUGUGUAUGUGUGUACUACUCCUAUUGCGUGUUCCUUAUGAAUACAGCUGUUGCUGCAAUUUCUCUACACAGCUGAUGAUCUGGGCAAUCAUACAUUUAUGUAUGGGAGGGAGGAGGUGCUUUCAUCCCAAAGACAUUGGGUAGUGCUGACAUUGUUUAGACUCCAAAGAUCUAAAAGAUACCAGGCUCAAUAAGUGUUUGGAUGCUUAUUAGAUUAUCCUGUGUACAACCAGAUCUGUGACUGUGUUUUGGCUUUGCCCUGUUUGCAUGUAACAGCAUUUUCCAUCACUGUAGCGCAGGGCUGAAUGGCUAAGAAGACUUUUAUGUUGCUGUGUAUUUAGGUUUUGUUUCAAAAUGAGAGCUGAAAAUAUUAAAGGUGAAAAAAUAUGAGUAAGAAUGUUAACCAAUAGUUUUAAAGUAAAACACAGAUCUUAGCAUGUUUUUUUAUCAGGCACUUUCUGUAAGCAGUAGAAGGCUUGCUGCCACAGGAUACCUCUGCCUCCUUGGAGUGAGUACAGCUGGCCUAAAAGCUCAAGUUUGUGACAUUUCUUUGCCUUUGAUAGACUUAGACUAGUCGAGGGAUGUUGGAUGCAAACAAACACGGCCCUUAUUUUGAACAGUUACAAUUCCCAUGAGUAUUUUUUUUUCCCCUACCACAAAUCAUCUAAACAACUUGAACAGCCACACUGUUUAGAGGGAUUAUGACUUGUAGUAGGCCUAAGUUUUGUCUUAUUUUGGUUUAUUUUACCUUUUCUGGUAUAUUGACUCUUUUUUCAGGGUGAGUUUAUUUUGUUGCCUUAGCAAAAAGUAGGUGUUUCCUGAAGGGUAUCAGGUGCUGGGAGUGAUAAUACAAGCUAAGGUUAGUAUUGGGAGCAAUGAUCAGAAGAAGAGGUUAAAUGUUGCAGUCACAUAAAAUGUCUAAGGUUUGAACUCGAGUAGAUGUUUAUAGUUGCAUAAGCAUAAAUUACAGAUUAAAAAGCCUGUCUGACAAAUCUUCACAAAUCAUAAGCAGCUGUAACAUCGGUGUGCAAACAGCUGUUUUGUUGUCCUUGACACCCAGAGCAUGGCUAGUCCCUAUAUAUAUAUAUUAGGUAGCCUUCUUGUGAGAGAAAAAAAAAACUUUGGAGAUUCAGAAAAAUCAGGUGCAACCUCUUCCAGGGUGGGCCCAUUGGUUUCUAGGUCACACCUUGGCCUUCCACCUUUGCAGAGUAGGAGCUAGGUAUGGAUAGAGGUAGACAAUGCCUCCUCCAGGGUUAGCCUAACCUUAAAUGAAGGUUAGGAAUCUUGUCUAAGUGAAUCACCUAGAUUAUCGCAGUAGUCAGUAGAGGCAUCUUCAGGGGCAAUUCAGUCCAUCUAGCUUACACAUCAGUUGCAGGACAGGAUGAACUGAUGAAUUACCUGCUGGAGUUAUAUAUCUCCAGAUAUAGAAAGGAAUCUAGUUGACCUGACUGGAACACCAGCUCUUACACAGAGGAAGUAGAGUGAGGUGGUGAUGUGGUUCCAUCUCCUCGUGGGUUAUGACAGCCCACAACUUGGAAUUAAUAGAUCCGUAAGACUAAGUUCAGCUCAGGCCUUGUAAAAAAAAAACCAAAAACCAAAACCCCAACCAAAAAACAAACCCCCCAAACAAAACCAAACCAAACCCAAAACCAAACAGAGAGAAGAAAAGAAGAAAAAGAGAUGAUUCGUUGUCUUUAUGCUCUGUGUCCUGUUAGCACCCUCUUUGCUUCAGUGCUUGCAGCGUGCUGGAAGAGCCAUGGUCUUCUGUGGUAAUGCUAUCUUUGUCUCACAUGUAUCCGAAUGCAGGUCACUGGUUUCCUAGCUGAUGUGCUGUUGACAGAUUUCUGGACAGGCAAGCUGCCAUAUGUAGGACUGCUGAUCUUGGGUCAUUCGAGCAGUAUGAGAUACCUUCCUACAUUUCUGUGCCUUUUUUAGUAUGGAAAGGGGAGAGUAAGAUUUGAAUAUACACAGAUAAUGCCAUUACCAGCUCAUUUAAAAGGCCACAUUGCAUUUUUUCAACAACACUAUACCUUCCUAAACAAUGUUCAAGAAAGAUAGGGGUAUAUUUAGAAGAUGGAUAUUUCAAUUGCUGGCUAUCCAAAAGUGACAUAACACCAGGACAAUUUUAAAUAGGAUGAGGCUUUAAUGGGUCUCCUAGAGGGGGAAAAAAAGCUGUUUAUUAGUAGCAAUGUACUAAACUACCUGCAUUUGAUGAAGUGCUAAUGCAGGAAAUCACUUAUAGAGAAACAAAUGAAAAUGUCAAUUAAAAAAAAAUAAUGGUGCUUUCAGUUGUGGGGUUUUGUUUUUUUUUUUUUCCAUUCUUAAGUGCUGGGUAUGGUUUCCUUACUGCUUGAAAAGCUUUUGGUUUGUCUCUGUUGCCUUAGUUCUGUGUGGGUUUUUUUUUGUGGUUUUUUUUUUUUUUUUUUUUUUGGGGGUUGUGGGGGUGUGUGUUUCUUUGGUUGGUUUGGGUUUUUUGGGUUUUGUUUUGUUUGUUUUGUGGGCCAUUCCCAACCCCCGUAUCUGCUGCAUUGGAGUUGGAUUUCAUUUAGACUGGAGGCUAAUUUAAUAUUCUGGUUUAAUGCUUUUUCUCUAUUGUUUUAUUUUUCCAAUUUUUUUACAGAGCAUUUUUCCAAUGAAAAUGUGUCCAAGAGCACAGUGCAUGCACUUAUCAGCUUUGAAUUGCCUAAUCUUCAGAUGACUGAGUAACAAUUAAUAAAACCCCUUUAUGUGGGGGAGAAUGGGAUUAGACUGGGUGCAAACUACUCCUGAGACCUUGCUCACUAAUAAGAGGAAAUAAUUUGUGUGCUAAAACAGAAUAAAACCAGCUACUGGAGGAUAACAUCUGGAAAAAAGACACUAGAAAACAAGCUGCUAUGCUGAGUUCUGGGCCCCCCAGUUCAAGAAGGGUGCAGAACUGCUUGAGCAUGUCCCGCGGAGAGCUACCACAAUGAUCAGGGGACUGGAGCACCUCCCUUAUGAGGAAAGGCUGAGAGACUUGGGUUUGUUCAGCCUGGAGAAGAGAAGAUUGAGAGGGGAUCUCAUCAAUACCUAUAAAUAUCUAAAGGGUGAGUGUCAGGAUGAUGGGACUGGGCUCUUUUCAGUGGUGCCCAAUGACAAGACAAGGGUCAAUGGGCACAAGUUGGAACACAAGAAGUUCCACCUCAACAUGAGGAAAAACUUCUUUCCUGUGCGGGUGCCAGAGCAGCGGCACAGGCUGCCCAGAGAGGCUGUGGAGUCUCCUUCCCUGGAGACAUUCAAACCCCGCCUGGACGUGUUCCUGUGCCCCCUGCUCUGGGUGUGCCUGCUCACGCAGGGGGGAUGGACAAGAUGAUCUCCAGAGGUUCCUUCCAACCCCUACCAUUCUGUGAUUCUGUGAUAUGUACACCUAUCCAAACCAUGAGGCUGCAUUUGCCGCCUCCACCCCCCUACCCCUGCACCCCCAUUCUGCAAUGACAGAGAGAACGCAGCCAUCUAGAGCUGCCUAUGGUGUGGCUGGGCAUUCUCUUCUCUUGCUGCUUAAUAUAGAGAGCAAAACUGAACAUGGUGGGAACUUUACGUAUGACAUCCUGCUCAUUAAAAUGGAACCCAUCUUGCCUUGUGGCAUUGUCCUCAAAAGAGCAAGCCCUGAUGGGCUAGGAGAGGAUACUGAGUAGAUGAGGCUGCUUAUUGCAGCCUCUGAGUUAAGGCAUUUGUGAGGAUGACUCAAGACACUAAGCCAAGGACACUAAUAUUACCAAUUUGCUUUCAACUUAGAAUUGCCUGUAAUGGAUCCACACAUGUAGCACUUUCCUGUCCUUCAAGCGCGUAACAAAUAACCAGUGGUCUCCAACAACAUUCUAGAUCAUACUCUCAGGCACACAUCUAGCAUGGACCUGGCUGUAUCUUGGUCUUUCCCUGCAGAGUUAAGCGACAGCUAAAUGAAGGGGCAAGGAUUGAACAGUUAGGAACCUAACGUUUAGCCUGCUUGAUUACUGUACCAGCUAGAUCUGUAAAAUACCCUUACCAGCUUCUGAUGAGUGACAGUGCUACUACAGUUACAAAUUCUUUUCAAUAUUUUCCACUUUUUCUGCAGGUAAGAAAACUGCUUUACUCUAUGGAAAAAUCAGGAAAAAGUAACAAUCAUAAAACCAUAGUGAGGUAUAAACCCAUGUGAUACACUUAGUAUAGGAAGUAAGUGCUUUGUAAGGGAAAUAAGUUCUCUCUUUUUACUGGAAGCAUCCAUGUUCCUAAAGUAGCAUCUUCCCACCAUCCAGAGAAUUUAACCUUUGGAAUUAAAAGAGGAACAGAAGCCAAGACUUUGUGUCAUUGUAUAGGUAAACCAAACCCUGACAUACAGUUUCAGUGUAAUUAGAAGGACAGAGGAUACAAAAAUAAUAAAGCAACUCUAGGCUAUGCUGUAAGAAAACCAAAAAUCCCUCCUUGUUUGAGAAUUUAAGGGAAGAUUUUGAAAACCCCAUCCUAGAAAGCAGACACACCAGGUAUAAAGUUUGGCCCACAAAUCAUGCAGCUUUUUUCUUCUUAAGCAAAUACUGCAACUUCACCACUCUUAUGUUUAACA